GGUGAGUCUUUGCAAUGGGAUGCUUUAUAAACUUGGUUGCUUCAUAGAAGGUAUCCAUUAAGAAUAUGGAAACUAAAAAGCGUAAAAAUGAAGCGAAAAUUCCAAGCAAAAACCAUUAUACUAAUAAUGUUGCUGUGCGUAUUCAGCGAAAUCAGGCUGAGAAGCAAAGGCGUGACCGACUCAACGACCAGGUUGCUCAGCUGGCCACUAUUGUACCCCCAGUUCUAAAUGCUUCAAAGCCUCUUGACAAAGUUAGCAUCUUGAGACUAUCAGCGUCAUGGAUGAGGCUAAACUACAGUGAGUAUUAUGAUCUCUCA